rnacentral:rRNA from 1 species
AUUGAACGCUGGCGGUAUGCUUAACACAUGCAAGUCGAACGGCAGCACGGGGGCAACCUGGUGGCGAGUGGCGAACGGGUGAGUAAUACAUCGGAACGUGCCCAAUCGUGGGGGAUAACGUAGCGAAAGUUACGCUAAUACCGCAUACGAUCUACGGAUGAAAGCGGGGGAUCGCAAGACCUCGCGCGAAUGGAGCGGCCGAUGUCAGAUUAGGUAGUUGGUGGGGUAAAGGCUCACCAAGCCAACGAUCUGUAGCUGGUCUGAGAGGACGACCAGCCACACUGGAACUGAGACACGGUCCAGACUCCUACGGAGGCAGCAGUGGGGAAUUUUGGACAAUGGGCGCAAGCCUGAUCCAGCCAUUCCGCGUGCAGGAUGAAGGCC